rnacentral:rRNA from 1 species
CGGCAGGCCUAACACAUGCAAGUCGAACGGUAACAGGAAACAGCUUGCUGUUUCGCUGACGAGUGGCGGACGGGUGAGUAAUGUCUGGGAAACUGCCUGAUGGAGGGGGAUAACUACUGGAAACGGUAGCUAAUACCGCAUAACGUCGCAAGACCAAAGAGGGGGACCUUCGGGCCUCUUGCCAUCGGAUGUGCCCAGAUGGGAUUAGCUUGUUGGUGGGGUAACGGCUCACCAAGGCGACGAUCCCUAGCUGGUCUGAGAGGAUGACCAGCCACACUGGAACUGAGACACGGUCCAGACUCCUACGGGAGGCAGCAGUGGGGAAUAUUGCACAAUGGGCGCAAGCCUGAUGCAGCCAUGCCGCGUGUAUGAAGAAGGCCUUCGGGUUGUAAAGUACUUUCAGCGGGGAGGAAGGGAGUAAAGUUAAUACCUUUGCUCAUUGACGUUACCCGCAGAAGAAGCACCGGCUAACUCCGUGCCAGCAGCCGCGGUAAUACGGAGGGUGCAAGCGUUAAUCGGAAUUACUGGGCGUAAAGCGCACGCAGGCGGUUUGUUAAGUCAGAUGUGAAAUCCCCGGGCUCAACCUGGGAACUGCAUCUGAUACUGGCAAGCUUGAGUCUCGUAGAGGGGGGUAGAAUUCCAGGUGUAGCGGUGAAAUGCGUAGAGAUCUGGAGGAAUACCGGUGGCGAAGGCGGCCCCCUGGACGAAGACUGACGCUCAGGUGCGAAAGCGUGGGGAGCAAACAGGAUUAGAUACCCUGGUAGUCCACGCCGUAAACGAUGUCGACUUGGAGGUUGUGCCCUUGAGGCGUGGCUUCCGGAGCUAACGCGUUAAGUCGACCGCCUGGGGAGUACGGCCGCAAGGUUAAAACUCAAAUGAAUUGACGGGGGCCCGCACAAGCGGUGGAGCAUGUGGUUUAAUUCGAUGCAACGCGAAGAACCUUACCUGGUCUUGACAUCCACGGAAGUUUUCAGAGAUGAGAAUGUGCCUUCGGGAACCGUGAGACAGGUGCUGCAUGGCUGUCGUCAGCUCGUGUUGUGAAAUGUUGGGUUAAGUCCCGCAACGAGCGCAACCCUUAUCCUUUGUUGCCAGCGGUCCGGCCGGGAACUCAAAGGAGACUGCCAGUGAUAAACUGGAGGAAGGUGGGGAUGACGUCAAGUCAUCAUGGCCCUUACGACCAGGGCUACACACGUGCUACAAUGGCGCAUACAAAGAGAAGCGACCUCGCGAGAGCAAGCGGACCUCAUAAAGUGCGUCGUAGUCCGGAUUGGAGUCUGCAACUCGACUCCAUGAAGUCGGAAUCGCUAGUAAUCGUGGAUCAGAAUGCCACGGUGAAUACGUUCCCGGGCCUUGUACACACCGCCCGUCACACCAUGGGAGUGGGUUGCAAAAGAAGUAGGUAGCUUAACCUUCGGGAGGGCGCUUACCACUUUGUGAUUCAUGACUGGGGUGAAGUCGUAACAAGGUAACCGUAGGGGAACCUGCGGUUGGAUCACCUCCUUA